rnacentral:piRNA from 1 species
CAGACCCAAGCUUGGAGCAGCUGGUC